UACGGGGGGAGCAAGCGUUGUUCGGAUUUACUGGGCGUAAAGGGCGCGUAGGCGGUCGUGACAAGUCACUUGUGAAAUCUCCGGGCUUAACUCGGAACGGUCAAGUGAUACUGUCGGACUAGAGUACAGAAGGGGCAACUGGAACUUCUCGGUGUAGCGGUGAAAUGCGUAGAUAUCGAGAGGAACACCUGCGGCGAAGGCGGGUUGCUGGGCUGAUACUGACGCUGAGGCGCGAAAGCCAGGGGAGCGAACGGG
rnacentral:rRNA from 1 species